UGGGGAAUAUUGGACAAUGGAGGGAACUCAGAUCCAGCAAUUCUGUGUGUGUGAAGAAGGUUUUAGGACUGUAAAACACUUUUAGUAGGGAAGAAAAAAAUGACGGUACCUACAGAAGAAGCAACGGCUAAAUACGUGCCAGCAGCCGCGGUAAUACGUAUGUUGCGAGCGUUAUCCGGAAUUAUUGGGCUUAAAGGGCAUCUAGGCGGUAAGACAAGUUGAAGGUGAAAACCUGUGGCUCAACCAUAGGCUUGCCUACAAAACUGUUGAACUAGAGUACUGGAAAGGUGGGUGGAACUACACGAGUAGAGGUGAAAUUCGUAGAUAUGUGUAGGAAUGCCGAUGAUGAAGAUAACUCACUGGACAGAAACUGACGCUGAAGUGCGAAAGCUAGGGGAGCAAACAGG
rnacentral:rRNA from 1 species